UACGAAGGGGGCUAGCGUUGCUCGGAAUGACUGGGCGUAAAGGGCGCGUAGGCGGUUUGGACAGUCAGAUGUGAAAUUCCUGGGCUCAACCUGGGGGCUGCAUUUGAUACGUUCGGACUAGAGUGGGGAAGAGGGUCGUGGAAUUCCCAGUGUAGAGGUGGAAUGCGCAGAUAUCAGGAAGAACACCGAUGGCGAAGGCAGGUCACUGGGCCGCAACUGACGCUGAGGAGCGAAAGCGUGGGGAGCGAACAGG
rnacentral:rRNA from 1 species